UCGAGAUAACUCUCUCUAAGGAACUCGGCAAAAUGGCCCCGUAACUUCGGAAGAAGGGGUGCCCACGAGAGUGGGUCGCAGUGAAGAGAUCCAGGCGACUGUUUACCAAAAACACAGGUCUCCGCUAACUCGAAAGAGGACGUAUGGGGGCUGACGCCUGCCCAGUGCCGGAAGGUUAAGGAAGUUGGUCAGGGGUUCGCCCUGAAGCUGACGACCGAAGCCCCGGUGAACGGCGGCCGUAACUAUAACGGUCCUAAGGUAGCGAAAUUCCUUGUCGGGUAAGUUCCGACCCGCACGAAAGGCGUAACGAUCUGGAUGGUGUCUCAGAGAGAGACUCGGCGAAAUAGGAAUGUCUGUGAAGAUACGGACUGCCUGCACCUGGACAGAAAGACCCUAUGAAGCUUUACUGUAGCCUGGAAUUGUGUUCGGGCUUGGCUUGCGCAGGAUAGGUGGGAAGCACAGAAGUACCCCUUGUGGGGGGUAUGGAGCUAACGGUGAGAUACCACUCUGGCGAAGCUAGAAUUCUAACCUAGCACCCUCAGCGGGUGUAGGAACAGUUUCAGGUGGGCAGUUUGACUGGGGCGGUCGCCUCCUAAAAGGUAACGGAGGCGCGCAAAGGUUCUCUCAGCACGCUUGGAAACCGUGCGGCGAGUGUAAAGGCAUAAAGAGAGCUUGACUGCAAGAGUGACAACUCAAGCAGGGACGAAAGUCGGCCUUAGUGAUCCGACGGCACAGAAUGGAAUGGCCGUCGCUCAACGGAUAAAAGGUACUCCGGGGAUAACAGGCUGAUUCCUCCCAAGAGUUCACAUCGACGGGGGAGUUUGGCACCUCGAUGUCGGCUCAUCACAUCCUGGGGCUGAAGCCGGUCCCAAGGGUAUGGCUGUUCGCCAUUUAAAGUGGUACGCGAGCUGGGUUUAGAACGUCGUGAGACAGUUCGGUCCCUAUCUGCCGUGGGCGUUGGAAAUUUGAGAAGAGUUGCUCCUAGUACGAGAGGACCGGAGUGAACGAACCUCUGGUGUUCGGGUUGCGUCGCCAGACGCAUUGCCCGGUAGCUAUGUUCGGACGGGAUAACCGCUGAAAGCAUCUAAGCGGGAAGCCUCCUUCAAGAUAAGAUUUCCCUGGGGCUUGACCCCCUAAAGGGCCGUUUAAGACUAAGACGUUGAUAGGUCGGGUGUGGAAGCGUUGUGAGGCGUUGAGCUAACCGAUACUAAUUGCCCGUGAGGCUUGACC
rnacentral:rRNA from 1 species